rnacentral:misc_RNA from 1 species
GAUGAAGAACGUAGCGAAAUGCGAUAAGUAGUGUGAAUUGCAGAAUUCAGUGAAUCAUCGAAUCUUUGAACGCACAUUGCGCCCGCCAGUAUUCUGGCGGGCAUGCCUGUCUGAGCGUCAUUUCAACCCUCAUGCCCCUAGGGCGUGGUGUUGGGGAUCGGCCAAAGCCCGCGAGGGACGGCCGGCCCCUAAAUCUAGUGGCGGACCCGUCGUGGCCUCCUCUGCGAAGUAGUGAUAUUCCGCAUCGGAGAGCGACGAGCCCCUGCCGUUAAACCCCCAACUUUCCAAGGUUGACCUCAGAUCAGGUAGGAAUACCCGCUGAACUUAAGCAUAUCAAAAGCGGAGGA